rnacentral:misc_RNA from 1 species
GAUGAAUAACGCAGCGAAAUGCGAUACGUAAUGUGAAUUGCAGAAUUCAGUGAAUCAUCGAGUCUUUGAACGCACAUUGCGCCCCCUGGUAUUCCGGGGGGCAUGCCUGUCCGAGCGUCAUUGCUGCCCUCAAGCACGGCUUGUGUGUUGGGCCUCCGUCCUCCUCCCGGGGGACGGGCCCGAAAGGCAGCGGCGGCACCGCGUCCGGUCCUCGAGCGUAUGGGGCUUCGUCACCCGCUCUUGUAGGCCCGGCCGGCGCUUGCCGACACAUCAAUCUUUUUUCCAGGUUGACCUCGGAUCAGGUAGGGAUACCCGCUGAACUUAAGCAUAUCAAUAAGCGGAGGA